GUGGUUGUAGUUUAGUGGUAAGAAUUUCACGUUGUGGUUGUGGAAACUUGGGUUCGAAUCCCAAUAGCCACA
rnacentral:tRNA from 1 species